rnacentral:rRNA from 1 species
AGAGUUUGAUCAUGGCUCAGGAUGAACGCUAGCGGCAGGCCUAAUACAUGCAAGCCGAACGGUAAGAUUUGUAGCAAUACGAGUCCUAGAGUGGCGCAAGGGUGCGUAACACGUAUGCAAUCUACCCGCAACAGGAGGAUAGCUCCCCGAAAGGGGAAUUAAUACUCCAUAAAAUCAUUUGAGGGCAUCUGAGGAUGAUUAAACCUGAGGGGGUUGUGGAUGAGCAUGCGUCUGAUUAGCUAGUUGGCGGGGUAACGGCCCACCAAGGCGAUGAUCAGUAGGGGAACUGAGAGGUUGAUCCCCCACACUGGCACUGAGAUACGGGCCAGACUCCUACGGGAGGCAGCAGUAGGGAAUAUUGGACAAUGGGUGAGAGCCUGAUCCAGCCAUGCCGCGUGCAGGAAGACGGCCUUCUGGGUUGUAAACUGCUUUUAUCUGGGGAUAAAAAGGCCUUGCGAGGCAAACUGAAGGUACCAGAUGAAUAAGCCACGGCUAACUACGUGCCAGCAGCCGCGGUAAUACGUAGGUGGCAAGCGUUGUCCGGAUUUAUUGGGUUUAAAGGGUGCGUAGGCGGCUUAUUAAGUCAGUGGUGAAAGACGGUAGCUUAACUAUCGAGGUGCCAUUGAUACUGAUGAGCUUGAGUACAGUUGAGGUAGGCGGAAUGGACGGUGUAGCGGUGAAAUGCAUAGAUAUCGUCCAGAACACCGAUAGUGAAGACAGCUUACCAAGCUGUAACUGACGCUGAGGCACGAAAGUGUGGGGAUCA